UACAACCAAUAACUAUUUUCAAAGGGAUCAUAAAGCAAAAAGGAAGUCAAAUUUUAUAAAAUGUUUUCAUUGUGGCCGGAAAGGACAUGUGAAAAAUGACUGUUAUUAUUUUAAGCGAAUAAAUCAUAAAAAAAACUACGGAUAGGCCGAGAACAGUGCAGACAGUUGAAGUUGAUAUUAAUCAGCCAUCCACAUCAUCAGCUGACGCGUCUGGUUUUGCUUUCAUGGCUGGUGACUACAAUUCGGGUGCAACCGCAAGCCAAAUAACAUUUUUAUUGGACUCAGGAGCAUCUGACCAUAUUAUAAACAGGGAAGAUUUGUUUAGUUAUUUGAUUGAUUUGCCUAUUCCUAUAAACAUUUCAGUUGCUAAAAGCGGUGAAUAUAUUUUAGCUAAGAAAAAAGGAACACUACAUGUCAGCAGCAAUAUGGGUGUUCGAGGAACACUAGAAGACGUUCUUUUCUGCCCCGAGGCGCCCUACAACUUGCUAUCUGUUUCGAAGUUGCAACAGGCUGGAGCUACUGUCAUAUUUGAUCACAGAGGUACCCGCAUAUGUAAGCAAGGUCAACAACUUGCAGAUGCGUUAACAAAACCAUUACCAGCGGUUACGUUUCAUGAAAUGAGGAGAAACAUGGGUUUACAAUAAUAAUAUUUAAUGAGUUGGCUACUAUUUGUUAUUAAUUUAAUUAUUCUGUUAUACUCAUUGUGUUCUAAUAAUUAUAUCUAAUGUAUAUAAUGUAUCGAAUUUAAGAUGAUGAAAUGAUCUGAUAAGGUUUUUCUGGGUUUUCCCUUAUCCGAGCAACAAAUGUUGGAUCAUUAUUUUUGUAUUUUCCCAGACUCGCUUGGAAGUUAUAUAGUUCUGUUUAGGCAUUUGAUUUGUACAAGAAUUAAUUUUUGAGGGGGCGUGUUGAUUUAUUUGAGUAAGAUUGCAAAAAUUAAUCAUUGUAUUGACUAUUUCCUGUCAUUUGAAUGAGCGAUCGAGCCGCCAUCUUGUCGAGGCGCCAAAUUGUCUUUACCUCACUCUGCUCCAGGUCAUUUCUGAUUCUUUCCAAUUUGUAUCGUGGUAGGAAGCAGACAUAUCACUUCCAAGUUAAACAGUGAAUAUAUUUCUUUAUUACGGAUA